UGUGUAGGCGGUUCUCAAAGUUUGGUGUGAAAUCUCCCGGCUCAACCGGGAGGGUGCGCCGAAAACUGGAGGGCUAGAGUGCGGGAAGGGAGAGUGGAAUUCCUGGUGUAGCGGUGAAAUGCGUAGAUAUCAGGAGGAACACCGGUGGUGUAGACGGCUCUCUGGACCGCGACUGACGCUGAGACACGAAAGCGUGGGUAGCAAACA
rnacentral:rRNA from 1 species